UGCUGCCGAACCGCCCCCGCUCCGGCUGCUCCGGCUGCUCCGGCUCGAGCUGCGGCGGCGGCGGCGUCUUCCACUGCCUCUCGCUGGCCGGGAGGGGCGAGGCGGGGACUGCGCGCGGAGGUGGGACCGGCCCGGGAGGAGACGCUUAAAGAGGCCGCUCGGCUCCUUGUGGGAGAAGAAAAAGAAAGUUGCGUUUAGGGAACGAGUUUCAAGGAAUCCCGCGCGCGCUUCCGGGGAGGGGGGAGCCCCGCCGAGUUCAUCGGGGUUUGCUCCUCAAGAAGCCCGCCUAGGAAAGUAGACCGUGUUGCCCAGUGGUUAGAGAAAGGAAGAGAAUUGUGCCAGGCCCUCGAGAGAUAGAUAGAUAGAUAGAUAGAUAGAUAGAUAGAUAGAUAGAUAGAUAGAUAGAUAGAUAGAUUUGGUUGGCCUACAACUCCCAUCAUUCUUGGCCAUGGGCCAGGCUAGCUGGGGCUGACUGGAGUUGGAGACCAGCAAAAUAUGGAGGGUUUCUUCCUCCCCUCCAGGUUCCCCCACUGAGUAUCAGACUACCACUGGGGGACAACCAGGCUCAAUUCGCCUCACCCCCGUUCCCCUCAGCCACAAAACUAAGCCAGUCAGACCUAUAGUCGCGACCUAGCUACCUCAUCGGGGUAUCGUGAGGUUCCUGGUUCAAUCCACGGCGUCUCCAGGUAGCGCUGAGGGAAAGAUUCUUCUGAAAGAGAGAGUUGAUUUAGACAGGUGACGUGGUGCCCCGAAAUAACGCGGGAAUCCGACUCCCAUCAUCAUUGGUCAUGCUAUCUUGGAACAUGAAGCCUCAAGUCACAGCAAGAAUUUUCUCUGCAAAGUUACAACGCAGAUGUGAUACGUAAUCCUUCCAAGUGAACUUUGAGGGCAUAAUCAGGGUGAGACUGGAAAAAAAGUGACUGAAAGUUUGACACUUUCGGUGCAAAAAGGACUGGAUAGUGGAUGCAGCUGCAUGAGGCACGCGCAUGCAAGGCCCCAAUCCACGGGAGAAGGCCUUCCAUGAAAAGCUGUGAAAAGUUAACUGAACCGGAGUCUGCAAGCGCACCACCACUCUGAAGCAUUUUGUCACAGAUCCUCAGCUAUCUGAGACAAACCAAUAGGAAAAAUAAAAAUAUUCCUGUCCUGUCAGUCACUCAGUUCAGUUCACCGUUCGAUUCAUCUGCCUAAAACUAUGGACCAACGCAAAACUAAUGCAAAUAGACAACAUUUAUUUUAUUAAUUGAUUAGAUUUAUUAUUCGCGUGAUGCCCAGAGGUCCCCAAGCGACGUACACAAUGUUAAAACAAAAUGAAUAAAACACACUAUG